AUUGAGCGCUGGCGGCAGGCUUAACACAUGCAAGUCGAGCGGGGUGAUGGUGCUUGCACUAUCACUUAGCGGCGGACGGGUGAGUAAUACUUAGGAAUCUGCCUAUUAGUAGGGGACAACAUCUCGAAAGGGAUGCUAAUACCGCAUACGUCCUACGGGAGAAAGCAGGGGAUCACUUGUGACCUUGCGCUAAUAGAUGAGCCUAAGUCGGAUUAGCUAGUUGGUGGGGUAAAGGCCUACCAAGGCGACGAUCUGUAGCGGGUCUGAGAGGAUGAUCCGCCACACUGGGACUGAGACACGGCCCAGACUCCUACGGGAGGCAGCAGUGGGGAAUAUUGGACAAUGGGGGGAACCCUGAUCCAGCCAUGCCGCGUGUGUGAAGAAGGCCUUAUGGUUGUAAAGCACUUUAAGCGAGGAGGAGGCUCUUUUGGUUAAUACCCAAGAUGAGUGGACGUUACUCGCAGAAUAAGCACCGGCUAACUCUGUGCCAGCAGCCGCCGUAA
rnacentral:rRNA from 1 species